AUACAGGAGUUCCAUUGUGGCUCAGUGAUUAACAUAUCCAACUAGGAACCAUGAGGUUGCAAGUUCGAUCCCUGGCCUCGCUCAGUGAGUUAGAGAUCUGGCGUUGCUGUGAGCUGUGGUGUAGGUCACAGACACGGCUCGGAUCCCAUGUUGCUGUGGCUCUGGUGUAGGCUGGCAGCUACAGCUCCGAUUAGACCCCUAACCUGGGAACCUCCAUAUGCUGUAGGUGUGGCCCUAGAAAAGACAAAAAAAAAAAAAAAAAAAAAAAAAAAAAAAAAAAAAAGACAAAAAAAAAUUUAAAAUAAAUAAAUAUUUCAAAACUCAUGUCUAAGUCUAUAUAAGUUUAGCGUAGGCAAGGCUGCAGUGAGGAAUAGACCCAGACCAGUAGUGGCUCAACACAAUGGAAAUUUACUUCUUGCUCAUGUCAGAGGCCUGGGAGGAUACACAGAUUGGUCAGUAGAGGCUCUCCUCUACAUACUCUUUCAGGCACCAGGCUAGCAGAGGCUCAGCCAUCUUCCAACUAUGGCUUCUGUAAUCACCAUGGUUCUCUCUCACACAGCUGCUGGAAGGAAGGGUGCAGAGAACUGAGAGAAGGAGGGCAGCAUGGGCUAGGCCAGAACCUGACACUCAGAACUCUGUUUCCAUUUCACUGGCUGGCACUCAAGCAUGUGGAUAUCUAAGUGCAAGUGGAGACUAGCUCUAUGCCAAGAAAAAGGGGAUGCAGAUUCUGUUGAAAAGCCAAUGGCCUCUGCCACAGUGUGUCACCCUCCCAGCCCAGCAGACAGUGCGACUCACAGUAGGCACUUGACUAAUAUUUGCUGAGUUGUGUGGUGACCAUUGAUUGAUUGAUUGAUUAAACAACUGUACAGGGCACUGAUCAUGUGUAGGGAACCAUGCUAGGGACCACAGAGGUUACAAAUGGCUCACAGUCUUUUAAGAUCAGCAUCUGUAGGCAAAGGAGCCUUGUGAGGGGAGGAAGAACUUUACCCUACUAUAAUAUCCAAUGCCAUCUUUCCCUCAGGUAAGUAUUCUCUGAAAAGGAAAAUGGAUGCUUUUUUUUAUUAAUUUUAAAUAAAGUAUCAGUAAAAGCAUCUUUCACAGAUUUAAAAAAUACAGUCUAAAUAAAAAGAAAACAAUUAUUAUUCCAAAAGUAUUCAUGAUAAGUCCUUUAUACUUUCCUCCUCUGAUUCCCAAUUACUUCUCCUAUGUAGAAUGCUUGAACCGACAUCGUGUAAGACAAAGAAAACAGUAACAUGGACAAUUCAAUUAUUAUACAAGGUAGGAAAUGCUAGGGGCCCUAGGCAAUGUAUAGCUAAAGUGAUUUGAGGGUUUGGAAGAAGGAAUGAUCACCACUUCUACCAGCCAGUGUCUUUGGCUGCAAACAGUAGAAACUUGCAGUGGCUGAUUUUACAAAAGAGUUCUGUGGACGGGUACCAAGUUCUUCAUAAAAUAAAAAGAUAAGCCAAAGAAACCAACACUGGCAAAGACUGGAGCAGAGCAGCUGCAGGGGUCCAGGAGCAGAAAUAAUGGAUGCGUUUUUUAGGGUAUGAAAGAGCUCCAUGCUUGCAUCAUUCAAGUAUCAAAUUGCAAAGAGAUAGAGUCUGAAGGAGAACUAGAGCAAGAUGGAGAGGGAGUGUUUCUGCUUGGCCUAGUGUCACAGCUGCAUCCCCUACCCAAGGGUGCAGCAUUUUGUGUCAUUAUCCCAUAUCAUGACAACCCCAAAGUAAAAUCCUUGUGUUCCUUUGAGAAGAAUGGUGAAUGAAUGAUACCAGGCAAGAAAAAAAGCCAUCAGCUCAAUGCUUAUUGAGCUCGGAGUAGGAGAGUCAGAGUUUUCAUGAAAGAGUUGGCUUUGGAAUUAGGCCUUAAAAAACAAACAACAUUUGAAUAUGUAGGGAUGGGGAGAAGGGUUGAUAAGAACAGAGCCACAUAGAAUAGGGCCUGCCCAACACAGGUAUAUUGGGAAAAGAGGAUGGUUCCAUUUGGAGAAAGUAUAGGGUGGGAAUAUAUCAUAAAGUGUCAUGAAUGCCAGCCUAAGGAAUUUGUUUUUAUACUGUAAGCAAUGAAUGGAUUGAAAUUUUUUUAGAUGGGAUAUAUAGCUAUGUGAUUAGAUUUGGAAUUAGCUAAAUACAGCUGACCAUAGAACAACACAGGAGUUGGGGUACCAACCCUCCCUGGAGUGGAAAAGCUGAGUAUACCUUACAGUUGGCCUGCCUUAUUUGCGGUCCCUCCAUACCUGCAUGGCCUGCCUUGUUCAAGGUUCCUCCAUAUGCUCGCUUCUGUGUCUGCUGAUUCAACCAACCAUGGAUUGUAUAUGUUUACUUGAAAAAAAUCCUUUUCCAAGUGGACCUGCACAGUUCAAACCAUGUUGUUCAAGGGUCAAAUUUUAUUUUAUUUUAUUUUUUUAAGGAAAGUCUCUCCCACGAAAAGGGUUAAAUGGGAGAAGAGAUUGUGUGCAAGAAAACCAUUAAGAGCAUUAUAGCAAAAGUAUGGUCUAGAAUUGUAAUGGCUGUGGGAAUGGCGUUGAGGAGACGGUGCAAGAAACAUCGUAAAAGUGCUGUUUAACAGCAAGGCUUGAUCUCACCUGUACCUCCAGGAGGUGAAGCUAAAUGUGGGACUGAAAAUUCAGUCAUCAAAAUCCAUGAAACAUUGUUCAUAGAAAUACUAACCAUGCAAUUUAGCCACUAAAUUCUUAAUCAGUUAAUCAAAUGUUCUUCAUGAUUAAAAUCAAGCUAUUUGAGAAAAUCCCUAAAUGCAUAAUCCUGUAGCUCGCAACUUCAAAGUGAAGGAAAUCGAUUCCAAUAAUAUUUAUCCACCUUCCACUGAAAACAACAGAAAAGAUACUUUGUGGGAAGGGGAGGCAAACUUUUUUCUGGAAAAGGCCAUACAGUAAACAUUUUAGUCUUUGUGAGGCAUGCAAUUUUCAUUGUAACUUCUUAACUCAGUAAGAAAGCAGCUGCAAACAAUAUUUAUUUAUGUAUGUAUGUAUUUAUUUAUUUAUUUAUUUUUAGGGCUGCACCUGCGGCACAUGGAAGUUCCCAGGCUAGGGAUCGAAUUGGAGCUACAGCUGCCGGCCUACAUCACAACCACAGCAAUUCAGGGUCCAAACCACGUCUUCGACCUAUACACUACAGCUCAAGGCAAUGCUGGAUCGAGGCCAGGGAUCCAACUUGCAUCCUCAUGGAUACUAGUCAGGUUCAUUUCUGCUGAGCCACAAAGGGAACUCCUGCAAACAAUAUUUAAAUGAAUGAAGGUAGCAACAUCCAAUACAUUAUUUAUCAAUAUUGAUAUUUGAAUGUGAUAUAAUUUUCACCUACGAAAAGCCUUUUGAUUUUUCUUCUACCAUUUAAAGGUGUAAAAACUAUUCUUAGUUAUCAAGCCAUUAAAAACAGGCAGGAGAUGGAGUUCCCGUCGUGGCUCAGUGGUUAACAAAUCUGACUAUGAACCAUGAGGUUGAGGGUUCCAUCCCUGGCCUUGCUCAGUGGGUUAAGGAUCCAGCAUUGCCAUGAGCUGUGGUGUAGGUUGCAGACGCGGCCCGGAUCCUGCGUUGCUGUGGCUCUGGGGUAGGUCUGCGGCUACAGCUCCAAUUUGUUCCCUAGCCUGGGAAUCUCCAUAUGCCGAGGGAACAGCCCCAAAAAUGCCAAAAAGACAAAAAAGCAAAAACAAAAAACAGGCAGGAGAUUGGAAUUCACACUUGCUAAUAGUGUCAAUGGCUACUACCAGAGCUUUAGAAAUCAGAACCACAUUUCCUUCAUGCGUCAACACAUGCGUCAACAAUAUGAGCUCAUUCUGAAAGAUAGUAGUUGAACUAGAAGAGAUAAUUCAUGAGAACCAAUUAACAUCUCAAUAAUUGAUUCUUUGGAUUUCCAUUGUGGGUCAGCAACAAUGAACAACUAGUAUCCAUGAAGAUGUGGAAAGGAUCCAACGUUGCUUUGAAGUGUGGUAUAGGUUGCCGACUCGGCUGGGAUUGCACAUUGCUGUGGCUGUGGCAUAGACAGGCAGCUACAGGUCUGAUUUGACCCCUAGCCUGGGACCUUCCAUAUGCCACGGGUGUUGCCCUAAAAAAAAAAAAGAUUCUGCUCUACUUGUUUUUGUUUCAAACAAAUGGUGUUUUCCUGUCAGCUUUCUUUUCUAAUAUAGUAUGCUAUUAAUAUUUAAAUACAGAUUUGGCUAAAGCAGCAGAGGCAUUCCAAAAAAUCACUGGUUUGGACAAGAUAGAAUUCCCUCUCUCUCAAAUAAUAGUCUGAGCACAGCAGCCUAAGGCUUGAAGGGAAACUUGAUAGUGUCAGAGGUACAGGCUUCUUCUAUCUUUUGCUCUAUCAUCCUCAGCACACAGCUUUCAACUCAGUCUGAGGGCUGCUCCAGCUCCUACCAUCAUAUUUGCAUCCCACACAGUGAUAAGAGGGAAAGAAAGAGAAGAAGGCCACGCUCCUUGACUUUAAGUGCAUGACCUGGAAGUCGUGUAUUACUUCUGUUCAUAUCCUAUCAGUCAGCACUUAGUGACAUAUCUACAGCUAGCUGCAGAGGGUGUGGGAAGUGAGAAACAGAAUCUUUAUCUUAGUAUCUGUAUACUAAGUUGGAAGUUCUAGUCUUACAGGAAGAUGGGAGAAUAGAAUUGUAGAAAUAUUGGAAGAAAAAAAAAUAUUGGAAGAUAGCAGGAAUUCUGUGCCCAGAGUUGUUGCAUAUUUAUAUAUAUAUAUAAAAAAAUUCCCUAUAUUCUAUACAGAUAACAUUUUGUUGCUUCACUCAGAAGGGAGCCAAUCUAAAUAUUUUAAUGAUUUUUAAUGAUUCACUUAAACUAAAAAUAAGUAUCAAUUAUUCUCUUGGUGGCUCCUUUUCCAGGGCUUUUACUUUAGUAGCUUCCAUAAAGUCAUUCAUUCAACAAAUAUUUUUGAGUACCUGUUAUGAAUCUGUCAUGCCAGGCAUCUACCUAGGCACGUAAACACCCUAAUUUCCUACACUGCUAACAACUUUAUUCUCGCAUGUUAUUUCUAUUGAAGCCAUGACCUUAGAACAUGAAGUAAAGGCUCCUAAAAGCAAGGGGAAUAAGCACUGGGAGCCAUGGUUGUUUGAAUACAAAGUGAGGAGCCCUUCCAAAUCUCCAGCAGCCUUUCAAAUCCACCCCCAGUCAACACAGGACUCCAAACAACAGCCUGUUUACUGUGCAAACGCAGUUUCAAGGGGAGUCCACUAGCUCUCUUUUCUAAAAGACUGCCAUCCUUGCCCAUCCUUUCUAGAAAUUCUAGACCACUCGGUGUGGGGAUUUGCACCAAUAUUUAGGUGCCAACUCUCUCCCAGUCUCCCAAUGGGAAGAUUACAGCGGAUCCUGAAAUAAGAGCCUACCUGCAUGUAUCAGAGUCUUUCUCAAGAUGUAUUUUUUAAAAAGAAAGAAAAGCAAGCGGGCAAACACUAAGCACUCCACCUGGCAUGACUUCAGAAUGCUUGUGAUUAAGAUAUUCUGCCUAUUGUUAGUUGAAGAUCUAGGCCUGCCUUGCUCCACAUAAAUAGAAGCUCUGUUUCUCAGCUGCCCGCUCACAUCCUCUUACAUGUCCUUAGGGUGCUAGAACAGCAGGGUUUCUCUAAGUGGUUCUUAGGCUCGAUGAACAUGAAAAGAAACAGCGAAGGGCUCCUGAAAGCAUUUACAUUGACGAGUAAUAUGUAUCCACAGUACGUUUUUCCUUUUCUUGCCAUAAAGUGAAAGCCUUUGUGCUCUGCUCUCCGUUGUUAGCACCUAGGGUAAUGGAGGUGGUGGCAGUGUGGCCAGCAGCAGGAUUUGGUCAAAAUUAAUUAAGUGAGGCGGUUUGGACUGCAGCAUCCUCACUCCUCCCUCGGCCACUCCCUUGUACUUUACCUGGUUGGAGUUCAGGGAGCAUGGAGGAGGGGAGGGAAAGAGUGGUGUGGCCUUGCAAAGUAGAAAAAAUGAGAAGCAUUCAUUUGGGGUUUAGUUACCUGUCAGGUGGUUGGAGAAGAAGCCACAGAUAAGAAAAGAAAAAAA
rnacentral:lncRNA from 1 species